CGGUCAAAUACAGAUGGAUCU
rnacentral:misc_RNA from 1 species